CCUACGGGAGGCAGCAGUAAGGAAUAUUGGUCAAUGGACGAAAGUCUGAACCAGCCAUGCCGCGUGAAGGAUUAAGGCCCUCUGGGUUGUAAACUUCUUUUAUCUGGGACGAAAAAAGGGUAGUCUUACUCACUUGACGGUACCAGAGGAAUAAGCACCGGCUAACUCCGUGCCAGCAGCCGCGGUAAUACGGAGGGUGCAAGCGUUAUCCGGAUUUACUGGGUUUAAAGGGUGCGUAGGUGGGCUUGUAAGUCAGUGGUGAAAUCUCCGGGCUUAACCCGGAAACUGCCAUUGAUACUAUAGGUCUUGAAUUAUCUGGGGGUAAGCGGAAUAUGUCAUGUAGCGGUGAAAUGCUUAGAUAUGACAUAGAACACCAAUUGCGAAGGCAGCUUACUACGGAUACAUUGACACUGAGGCACGAAAGCGUGGGGAUCAAACAGGAUUAGAUACCCUGGUAGUCCACGCCCUAAACGAUGGAUACUCGACAUCAGCGAUACACUGUUGGUGUNUGNGAGAAGANAUAGUAUCCACCNGAGACGANCGCAGAUAGAACGACGAAGAAGUAGACGCGUGAGACGUGCGACGACGACGACGAGGGAGGAGG
rnacentral:rRNA from 1 species